rnacentral:lncRNA from 1 species
UUUAAUUUAUUAUUUUAUUUAUGAAACCCUAUAAAAUAAAGUACUUUCUUCACUCACUAUGCAUACCAAAAAAGUAACCUCUGCUCUCACAAAUCACUGUCAUGGUACUUGCUCUCAUAUGACGGUACUCUCACUCUCACUUCACUGAAAUUCUUCAAGGAGCAGGUAAAACACCCUUCCUUUUUUCUUCUCUUUCCUCC